rnacentral:rRNA from 1 species
UCCUACGGGAGGCAGCAGUGGGGAAUAUUGCACAAUGGGGCGCAAGCCUGAUGCAGCAACGCCGCGUGAGGGACGAAGGCCUUCGGGUUGUAAACCUCUUUUAGUAGGGAAGAAGCGACUGGGUUUUCCUGGGAGUGACGGUACCUGCAGAAAAAGCACCGGCUAACUACGUGCCAGCAACCGCGGUAAUACGUAGGGUGCAAGCGUUGUCCGGAAUUAUUGGGCGUAAAGAGCUCGUAGGCGGUUUGUCGCGUCUGCUGUGAAAACCCGAGGCUCAACCUCGGGCCUGCAGUGGGUACGGGCAGACUAGAGUGCGGUAGGGGAGAUUGGAAUCCUGGUGUAGCGGUGGAAUGCGGAGAUAUCAGGAGGAACACCAAUGGCGAAGGCAGAUCUCUGGGCCGUAACUGACGCUGAGGAGCGAAAGCAUGGGGAGCGAACAGGAUUAGAUACCCUGGCAGUCCAUGCCGUAAACGUUGGGAACUAGAUGUGGGGACCAUUCCACGGUCUCCGUGUCGCAGCUAACGCAUUAAGUUCCCCGCCUGGGGAGUACGGCCGCAAGGCUAAAACUCAAAGGAAUUGACGGGGGCCCGCACAAGCGGCGGAGCAUGCGGAUUAAUUCGAUGCAACGCGAAGAACCUUACCAAGGCUUGACAUAUACCGGAAACGGCUGGAAACAGUCGCCCCGCAAGGUCGGUAUACAGGUGGUGCAUGGUUGUCGUCAGCUCGUGUCGUGAGAUGUUGGGUUAAGUCCCGCAACGAGCGCACCCUCGUCCUAUGUUGCCAGCACGUAAUGGUGGGAACUCAUGGGAUACUGCCGGGGUCAACUCGGAGGAAGGUGGGGAUGACGUCAAAUCAUCAUGCCCCUUAUGUCUUGGGCUUCACGCAUGCUACAAUGGCCGGU